GACGAACGCUGGCGGCGCGCCUAACACAUGCAAGUCGAACGAGCGAGAGAGAGCUUGCUUUCUUGAGCGAGUGGCGAACGGGUGAGUAACGCGUGAGGAACCUGCCUCAAAGAGGGGGACAACAGUUGGAAACGACUGCUAAUACCGCAUAAGCCCACGGUGCCGCAUGGCACAGAGGGAAAAGGAGCAAUCCGCUUUGAGAUGGCCUCGCGUCCGAUUAGCUAGUUGGUGAGGUAACGGCCCACCAAGGCGACGAUCGGUAGCCGGACUGAGAGGUUGAACGGCCACAUUGGGGCUGAGACACGGCCCAGACUCCUACGGGAGGCAGCAGUGGGGAAUAUUGCACAAUGGGGGAAACCCUGAUGCAGCGACGCCGCGUGGAGGAAGAAGGUCUUCGGAUUGUAAACUCCUGUUGUUGGGGAAGAUAAUGACGGUACCCAACAAGGAAGUGACGGCUAACUACGUG
rnacentral:rRNA from 1 species